rnacentral:rRNA from 1 species
GGUCAGGAUGAACGCUAGCUACAGGCUUAACACAUGCAAGUCGAGGGGCAUCAUGGAGUUGCUUGCAAACUCUGAUGGCGACCGGCGCACGGGUGAGUAACGCGUAUCCAACCUUCCCUAUAGUAGAGGAUAGCCCGGCGAAAGUCGGAUUAAUACUCUAUGUUUUCCGUUGCAGACAUCUAAGAUGGAACAAAGGCUUGCCGCUAUAGGAUGGGGAUGCGUCUGAUUAGGUAGUCGGCGGGGUAACGGCCCACCGAGCCAUCGAUCAGUAGGGUUCUGAGAGGAAGGUCCCCCACAUUGGAACUGAGACACGGUCCAAACUCCUACGGGAGGCAGCAGUGAGGAAUAUUGGUCAACGGGCGAGAGCCUGAACCAGCCAAGUAGCGUGCAGGACGACGGCCCUAUGGGUUGUAAACUGCUUUUAUGCGGGGAUAAAGUUCACUACGUGUAGUGUUUUGUAGGUACCGCAUGAAUAAGGACCGGCUAAUUCCGUGCCAGCAGCUGC